rnacentral:rRNA from 1 species
UGGGGAAUAUUGGACAAUGGGCGCAAGCCUGAUCCAGCCAUGCCGCGUGAGUGACGAAGGCCUUAGGGUUGUAAAGCUCUUUUGCCGGGGAAGAUAAUGACGGUACCCGGAGAAUAAGUCCCGGCUAACUUCGUGCCAGCAGCCGCGGUAAUACGAAGGGGACUAGCGUUGUUCGGAAUUACUGGGCGUAAAGCGCACGUAGGCUGGUGUGUCAGUCAGGGGUGAAAUCCCGGGGCUCAACCUCGGAACUGCCUUUGAUACAGCACAUCUUGAAUCCGGAAGAGGUGGGUGGAAUUCCUAGUGUAGAGGUGAAAUUCGUAGAUAUUAGGAAGAACACCGGUGGCGAAGGCGGCCCACUGGUCCGGUAUUGACGCUGAGGUGCGAAAGCGUGGGGAGCAAA